CCCACUUGAAUAUCUGUAAACAAGAUCUCACAAUUAAUGCCCACGAGGCCGGGUUUCAAGCAGCUACUGCCACGGCCAUACCCCACAUCACUUCCCGGCAUACAACUCUCCUUUCUCUCCCCACACUCCCGGCCCCAUCCGACAUCUCCUCGACCAUCUCCUCUCUCCCUCCAUCUCUUCCCGAACAAGGCCUAGGCACAGACUAGACUAAAUUCUAUCUUCUUUCCUCCCUCAUUCCGGAUAUUCCCAAUCCCAAAAUGGCCCUCGGUAUUUUGGUUUCGUCACUGGUGGUGUUACAUCAGCUGCGCAACUGGAGGACAUGCUAAUCACGGGUUACGAUGGGAACGUACAGGUACUAGGAGGAAAGACUGCUAACACUGCUGUGGAAAAGGUGGGCAUCGGGGAUGGUAUUGGAUUUGUUGAAUAUUGAGAGAAUCACAUUCUUGGGAAGAACAAUCUCUUCGGGUGCCAUAGCAUCCAAUAUGCUGGGGCUUGGUGACCCUCGAUCUCGAAAUGGAUGCUAUCAGUAAUUGAACAAAUCCAGCAUGCGCUCAAUAUUAUAUUUACGACCAUUCUCCACAUUUACCGCGCAAUUAUUAUUACGCCCAAUCUGGUCCCCCUUCAAACCUGCAUAUCCCAUCUAAUAUGGAACCAUGUUAUCAUUCUUUCCUUUCACCCACACUUCACCAUCGCCAAAGCCACCACCUUUGUAUGUCUUGGUGGCGGCCCAUCUAUCCUUCGGAGCAUGCCUUAUACUUCGGUGAUGAGCUCGCAAUUGAUCUUGAGAAGUUUGAAGACCGAAUGAAGGCCGGGGAGCAAGUUGAGAGGGAGGUAAUUAUCGUCUAAGAAAUUGAAAAGGUGAACAUAGGUGGCUUUGGAAGGGGAUUAGGAGAUGUAGUCAGACUUUGUCAUGAAUAUGGCGCAUGGCUGCACGUUGAUGCUGAUGAAUAGUUUGCUAGUUUG
rnacentral:sRNA from 1 species